GGCCCUGUGGUGUAAGGCACACUAGAUUGCAAAUCUAAUGGUGUAGGUUACCCCCUGCCGGGGCUU
rnacentral:tRNA from 1 species